GGGGGGGGUGCAAGCGUUAUUCGGAAUCACUGGGCGUAAAGAGCGCGUAGGCGGUCUCUUAAGUCAGAUGUGAAAGCCCGGGGCUUAACCCCGGAAGUGCAUUUGAAACGGAGGGACUUGAGUAUGGGAGAGGGAAGUGGAAUUCCUGGUGUAGCGGUGAAAUGCGUAGAUAUCAGGAGGAACACCGGUGGCGAUGGCGACUUCCUGGACCAAUACUGACGCUGAGGCGCGAAGGCGUGGGGAGCAAACAGGAUUAGAUACCCUGGUAGUCCACGCAGUAAACGUUGAACACUAGGUGUAGCGGGUAUUGACCCCUGUUGUGCCGCAGCUAACGCAUUAAGUGUUCCGCCUGGGAAGUACGGCCGCAAGGCUA
rnacentral:rRNA from 1 species